UACGUAGGCGGCUUACUAAGUCAGAUGUGAAAGCCCGAGGCUCAACCUCGGGACUGCAUUUGAAACUGGUGAGCUAGAGUACAGGAGAGGUAAGUGGAAUUCCUAGUGUAGCGGUGAAAUGCGUAGAUAUUAGGAAGAACACCAGUGGCGAAGGCGGCUUACUGGACUGUAACUGACGCUGAGGUACGAAAGCGUGGGGAGCGAACAGGAUUAGAUACCCUGGUAGUCC
rnacentral:rRNA from 1 species